rnacentral:rRNA from 1 species
GAUGGACGCUAGCUACAGGCUUAACACAUGCAAGUCGAGGGGCAGCAUGAUUGAAGCUUGCUUCAAUCGAUGGCGACCGGCGCACGGGUGAGUAACACGUAUCCAACCUGCCGAUAACUCGGGGAUAGCCUUUCGAACGAAAGAUUAAUACCCGAUAGUAUAGUAUUUCCGCAUGGUUUCACUAUUAAAGAACUUCGGUUAUCGAUGGGGAUGCGUUCCAUUAGAUAGUUGGCGGGGUAACGGCCCACCAAGUCAACGAUGGAUAGGGGUUCUGAGAGGAAGGUCCCCCACAUUGGAACUGAGACACGGUCUACACUCCUACGGGAGGCAGCAGUGAGGUAGAUUGGGCAAGGGACGAGAGUCUGAACCAGCCAAGUAGCGUGAAGGAGGACUGCGCUAGGGGUUGUAAACUUCUUUUAUACGGGAAUAAAGUGGAGUAUGCAUACUCCUUUGUAUGUACCGUAUGAAUAAGGAUCGGCUAACUCCGUG